rnacentral:rRNA from 1 species
AGAAGCUUGCUUCUCUGAUGUUAGCGGCGGACGGGUGAGUAACACGUGGAUAACCUACCUAUAAGACUGGGAUAACUUCGGGAAACCGGAGCUAAUACCGGAUAAUAUUUUGAACCGCAUGGUUCAAAAGUGAAAGACGGUCUUGCUGUCACUUAUAGAUGGAUCCGCGCUGCAUUAGCUAGUUGGUAAGGUAACGGCUUACCAAGGCAACGAUGCAUAGCCGACCUGAGAGGGUGAUCGGCCACACUGGAACUGAGACACGGUCCAGACUCCUACGGGAGGCAGCAGUAGGGAAUCUUCCGCAAUGGGCGAAAGCCUGACGGAGCAACGCCGCGUGAGUGAUGAAGGUCUUCGGAUCGUAAAACUCUGUUAUUAGGGAAGAACAUAUGUGUAAGUAACUGUGCACAUCUUGACGGUACCUAAUCAGAAAGCCACGGCUAACUACGUGCCAGCAGCCGCGGUAAUACGUAGGUGGCAAGCGUUAUCCGGAAUUAUUGGGCGUAAAGCGCGCGUAGGCGGUUUUUUAAGUCUGAUGUGAAAGCCCACGGCUCAACCGUGGAGGGUCAUUGGAAACUGGAAAACUUGAGUGCAGAAGAGGAAAGUGGAAUUCCAUGUGUAGCGGUGAAAUGCGCAGAGAUAUGGAGGAACACCAGUGGCGAAGGCGACUUUCUGGUCUGUAACUGACGCUGAUGUGCGAAAGCGUGGGGAUCAAACAGGAUUAGAUACCCUGGUAGUCCACGCCGUAAACGAUGAGUGCUAAGUGUUAGGGGGUUUCCGCCCUUAGUGCUGCAGCUAACGCAUUAAGCACUCCGCCUGGGGAGUACGACCGCAAGGUUGAAACUCAAAGGAAUUGACGGGGACCCGCACAAGCGGUGGAGCAUGUGGUUUAAUUCGAAGCAACGCGAAGAACCUUACCAAAUCUUGACAUCCUUUGACAACUCUAGAGAUAGAGCCUUCCCCUUCGGGGGACAAAGUGACAGGUGGUGCAUGGUUGUCGUCAGCUCGUGUCGUGAGAUGUUGGGUUAAGUCCCGCAACGAGCGCAACCCUUAAGCUUAGUUGCCAUCAUUAAGUUGGGCACUCUAAGUUGACUGCCGGUGACAAACCGGAGGAAGGUGGGGAUGACGUCAAAUCAUCAUGCCCCUUAUGAUUUGGGCUACACACGUGCUACAAUGGACAAUACAAAGGGCAGCGAAACCGCGAGGUCAAGCAAAUCCCAUAAAGUUGUUCUCAGUUCGGAUUGUAGUCUGCAACUCGACUACAUGAAGCUGGAAUCGCUAGUAAUCGUAGAUCAGCAUGCUACGGUGAAUACGUUCCCGGGUCUUGUACACACCGCCCGUCACACCACGAGAGUUUGUAACACCCGAAGCCGGUGGAGUAA